UUUCUUGGAAAGUCCCGUUAUUUAGGUGUUUCUUUAGAAAAUCAUUGUAUAACAAUGGUUUCGGGCCUAUUCUGGGAGGAG